GAUGAACGCUGGCGGCGUGCUUAACACAUGCAAGUCGAACGAUUAAAGCCCCUUCGGGGGUGUAUAGAGUGGCGAACGGGUGAGUAACACGUGGGCAAUCUGCCCCUCACACUGGGAUAACUCGAGGAAACUCGUGCUAAUACCGGAUACUCCGGACUGACCACAUGGUCGGUUCGGGAAAGCUCCGGCGGUGAGGGAUGAGCCCGCGGCCCAGUAGCUAGUUGGUGAGGUAACGGCCCACCAAGGCAACGAUGGGUAGCCGCGCGGAGAGGCGGAUCGGCCACACUGGGACUGGGACACGGGCAAGACUCCGACGGGAGGCAGCAGUGGAGAAUUUUUCGCAAUGGGCGAAAGCCUGACGCAGCAACGCCGCGUGCGGGAUGAAGGCCUUCGGGUUGUAAACCGCUUUCAGCAGGGAUGAAAAUGACAGUACCUGCAGAAGAAGCCCCGGUUAACUACGUGCCAGCCGCCGCCGUAA
rnacentral:rRNA from 1 species